rnacentral:rRNA from 1 species
GACAGAGGGGGCAAGCGUUGCUCGGAAUUACUGGGCGUAAAGGGCGCGUAGGCGGGAUGGCAAGUCGGUCGUGAAAUCCUUCGGCUCAACCGAAGAACGUCGAUCGAUACUGCUGUUCUUGAGGGUUGCAGAGGAGACUGGAAUUCCCGGUGUAGCGGUGAAAUGCGCAGAUAUCAGGAAGAACACCCGUGGCGAAGGCGGUUCUCUGGGACGGUACUGACGCUGAGACGCGAAAGCGUGGGGAGCGAACAGG